AUGGGAAAAAAAGAUUUUAAAAAAAUCAGCCCUGGACUGACUGAUACUACAGUACCUCAUCGUCUGGGGCCCAAAAGAGCUAGCAGAAUCCACAAACUCUUCAAUCUGUCUAAAGAAGAUGAUGUUCGCCAGUAUGUUGUGAGGAAGCCCUUAAAUAAAGAAGGUAAGAAACCUAGGACCAAAGCACCCAAGAUUCAGCGACUUGUAACUCCACGUGUCCUGCAACAUAAACGCCGGCGUAUUGCUCUGAAGAAGCAGCGCACUAAGAAAAAUAAGGAAGAGGCUGCAGAAUAUGCUAAACUUUUGGCUAAGAGAAUGAAGGAGGCCAAAGAAAAGCGCCAGGAACAGAUUGCCAAGAGACGUAGGCUGUCCUCUCUGAGAGCAUCUACUUCUAAGUCUGAGUCGAGCCAAAAAUAAGAUUUUUUGAGUUAAAUAAUAAAUAAGACCAUAUCCUAAAAAAAAAAAA